CCUUACGGGCGACAGCAGUGGGGAAUAUUGGACAAUGGGGGCAACCCUGAUCCAGCCAUGCCGCGUGUGUGAAGAAGGCCCUCGGGUUGUAAAGCACUUUCAGUGAGGAAGAACGCCUGGUGGUUAAUACCCAUCAGGAAAGACAUCACUCACAGAAGAAGCACCGGCUAACUCCGUGCCAGCAGCCGCGGUAAUACGGAGGGUGCGAGCGUUAAUCGGAAUUACUGGGCGUAAAGCGCGCGUAGGUGGCUUGAUAAGCCGGUUGUGAAAGCCCCGGGCUCAACCUGGGAACGGCAUCCGGAACUGUCAAGCUAGAGUGCAGGAGAGGAAGGUAGAAUUCCCGGUGUAGCGGUGAAAUGCGUAGAGAUCGGGAGGAAUACCAGUGGCGAAGGCGGCCUUCUGGACUGACACUGACACUGAGGUGCGAAAGCGUGGGUAGCAAACAGGAUUAGAUACCCGGGUAGUC
rnacentral:rRNA from 1 species